rnacentral:lncRNA from 1 species
UAAUAGACUAGAUCAGCUGUUUUGAUACAAGUGGGCGUGUCCGAUAUUUUUCCAGAAAUUUAAAUCAAGUUAAGAGAUAGAAGGUGACGAAAGUAGGAGCAGUAAAUGCACCGCAGAUUAUAGGAGAGUGGCUGGUGGGCUUAGUUAAUUGUGCCUGCGAGCCUGUCCACUCAAUCAAUGCCAUUGUUUUGCACUGCUCCCGUAUUUUUUUCAAAAAUAUAAUUAAGAGUAAGAGUGUGUUCUUUCAAAAUUUCUUAAUGAGUAAGAACGUUUUUGUUCUACGGAGUGUUUUUAACUUUUAAAAACACGUUCUUGGGGAUUAGACAUAAGACACCGUUUAUCACUUCAUUUUUAAGCUAGGGAAUUACGGAGAGUUGUCUGAUGGCAGGCGAAUCUGAUUGGUCUUUGGAUCUGCAAAAGAUUUGUGAGUGUGAGAAACAAAUCUAUAUGUGCUGGCCCUGUAGUAAAUAAAUUAUUGAAUGAAUAUGAACAAAGCCAUUUGUCUACACUAAAGCAUUGGGGUUUGAUGCCCCAAUGCCAUCAAACAGGGCAUGUGCUAUAAACAGUCUUGCAGGCGGCUACCACAGCCCACACCCUGAAACAUGAAAUUAACAGCUGGGGCCUGGGAUUGGGGUGCUGGAUUUACACCGGCCAAUUUCGCUGUGCCGCAAUUAUAACGACCGAUAAUGCUAAUGUGCUACACAAGGACGGCCAAAUAAUCGGAUAUAGCCCAAAACUUCGUUCCGCCGAAUAGAGAGAGUUUCAAUUUACAUGGACCAAACACCAAACAAAUAUGAUGUGAACUCUAAUCGAUUUGAGGAUAAUAAGCUUAGUGUGAUUGAAGAAAUAACUGCAUUCUACUUAAUAAUGGCUGACUUAGACACUUAAAUUAGGUGAGGUCUAAUUCGAAAAAUUUUAAAUUUAAUUUGGGAUGCUUAAUUUUUUUUUACUAUUUACUUAAAGUACAUCUAAAGUGUCAAAAUUCAAAUUCUGUUGG